GCCUACGACCAUACCACCUUGAAUGAGCCGGUUCUCGUCCGAUCACCGAAGUUAAGCAAGGUUGGGCCUAGGUAGUACUGGAAUGGGUGACCGUCCGGGAACACUAGGUGUUGUAGGCUUUU
rnacentral:rRNA from 1 species